GCUCCAGUGGCGCAAUUGGUUAGCGCACGGUACUUAUACGACAGUGUACGUGAGCUAUGCCGGGGUUGUGAGUUCGAGCCUCACCUGGAGCA
rnacentral:tRNA from 1 species